UGACGAAGCGACGCCGCGUGGGUGAAGAAGGCCUUCGGGUUGUAAAACCCUGUCAGGAGUUAUGAAAUGUAAGUGCGCUAAUAUCGUGCUUAUGUGACAAAGGCUCCAAAGGAAGCCACGGCUAACUCUGUGCCAGCAGCCGCGGUAAUACAGAGGUGGCGAGCGUUGUUCGGAAUUAUUGGGCGUAAAGAGCACGUAGGUGGGUUUGCAAGUCAGAUGUGAAAGCCUUCUGUUCAACGGAAGAAUUGCAUCUGAAACUGCUGAUCUUGAGUAUAGGAGGGGAGAAUGGAACUUCUGGUGGAGCGGUGAAAUGCGUAGAUAUCAGAAGGAACGCCGGCGGCGAAAGCGAUUCUCUGGCCUAUUACUGACACUCAGUGUGCGAAAGCUAGGGGAGCAAACGGGAUUAGAUACCCCGGUAGUCCUAGCCGUAAACGAUGGGCACUAAGUAGAGG
rnacentral:rRNA from 1 species